CUAAAUAUUUCACCUGAACUCUAUAGUACCCUAUUUUCAAGCAGACAGCCAUACAAACCCAAAGAACCAUCACACAGUACUAAAAAACAUAAUUUCCGAAGCAAGUUUAGUUCAUUCCGCAACCUUCUUUCGCAUUAAAAUAAACCAACAGCUAUCAGUCAAAUUAAUCUGGAAAAACAACAAUAUUUUUUGAUUAUAUAGCAAAAGUAAAGUCCACAGAUUAGGCAGAACCAAUAAAUUUGCAGAAAAAAGUAAUAUGAAAGAACUCAGGUAGGUAUUUGAAAAUCUCAUCUAAAUUCUAUGCACAAGUGUCAGAAUUCGUUAAUAUGGCAAUUCUUAUAGAAAAAUAAACAUUGCAUAAUUUUUGACAGAGCCCAAAAGAUAGAAUAAAUCACAUAUCCUUUAUAAAAGCAAGUUCAAAUUGUGAUAUUUGCUACAUAACCUAGAUUAGAAAUUAGUCAUAAGAAUUUUCUGUACAAAUUAGUGAAUAAGAAUAGUCUAAGCCCAUAGAAACUAAAGUGCGUGGAAAAAGUGAAAUAAAAUUCGCGAGUGCCGUGAAAAGGACGCGUAUGACAACUUAGCAACGGUAGUUGUGUAUUGAGGAGAUUUUGUACCGGCAUUUAUAAAAUUAUCAAAUUGUAAAGAAAAACUACAAAAACUAAGCAAAAUCCAAGUUAUAUCCUCUCAAGAAAGGUUCACUAUAGCAGGGUAGUAAAAUUUUCACCUGAUGAGCAGAUCCAGAGAAGAAAAUCCUGGUUGAAAAACUUCACCACUCUAGACCAUAUCGUCACUUGCAUUUGCCAAGGGAAUGCAAUUUUCUGUUCCAAUCGGAAAUACUUUUGCUCCAUGAGCUGAAACCAGGAUGUGAAAUACUACUGAAGACUGUGUAGUAAAUUCAAAUCAGUAAAAUAUUUGAAAGAUUGUAAUAUAUUUGAUCCACAUAGAAUUAAAGGAUAUUUAUUUAUCUCUGUGCCUGAAAAUGUCAAA